rnacentral:rRNA from 1 species
CAGCAGCCGCGGUAAUACAGAGGGUGCAAGCGUUAAUCGGAAUUACUGGGCGUAAAGCGCGCGUAGGUGGUUUGUUAAGUUGGAUGUGAAAUCCCCGGGCUCAACCUGGGAACUGCAUCAAAAACUGGCAAGCUAGAGUAUGGUAGAGGGUGGUGGAAUUUCCUGUGUAGCGGUGAAAUGCGUAGAUAUAGGAAGGAACACCAGUGGCGAAGGCGACCACCUGGACUGAUACUGACACUGAGGUGCGAAAGCGUGGGGAGCAAACAGGAUUAGAUACCCCAGUAGUCCCUGUCUCUUAUAC